AGUUUAAGUAGCUUAAUUAAAGCACGACAUUGAAGUUGUUGGGAUGAGGGGUUACCUCCUUGAAC
rnacentral:tRNA from 1 species